CCUACGGGCGGCACCAGUGGGGAAUCUUGCCCAAUGGGCGAAAGCCUGAGGCAGCAACGCCGCGUGUGGGAUGACGGCCCUCGGGUUGUAAACCACUUUCAGUAGGGACGAAAUUGACGGUACCUACAGAAGAAGCUCCGGCCAACUACGUGCCAGCAGCCGCGGUAAUACGUAGGGAGCGAGCGUUGUCCGGAUUUAUUGGGCGUAAAGAGCGCGUAGGCGGCUCGGUAAGCCGGAUGUGAAACCUCCAAGCUCAACUUGGAGCGGCCAUUCGGAACUGCUGUGGCUAGAGUCUGGUAGGGGAACACGGAAUACCUGGUGUAGCGGUGAAAUGCUUAGAUAUCAGGUGGAACACCAGUGGCGAAGGCGGUGUUCUGGGCCAGUACUGACGCUGAGGCGCGAAAGCGUGGGGAGCGAACAGGAUUAGAUACCCGGGUAGUC
rnacentral:rRNA from 1 species